rnacentral:lncRNA from 1 species
CUAAAUUUCGCAGCUGUCUGUCUUCUCUCUCACAUUUCCUCUUUCCUUUUAGAUUCUAUCACUUUCAACCUCCAUUUUCCCUCUGCAAGAAAAUCUGCGGGUAAGGCUCCGUCCUUCACCUCCUUCCUUCUUCUAGAUCUGGUUCUGGCCUUCCGCCUCUCUCUUUCUUCUAGAUUCGACUCCAACUUUCUCUUCCCUAUCUUUUUUUCCUUCAUCGACGUGCCUGUCCUGCCGCUAGAUUCUGGUGGUGGCGCGAUUCCAGAAAUGCGGCAAUCUGCGGAUGGCUAUGGGCGGAUGAGCAUGACCGAAGUUGAGUGAAAAUCAUGUUAAUAGGUUUUUGCUGUGGUUUUUGAACCUCUAUUGCCCAAU